rnacentral:rRNA from 1 species
UAGAGAAUCUUCCACAAUGGACGCAAGUCUGAUGGAGCAACGCCGCGUGAGUGAAGAAGGUCUUCGGAUCGUAAAGCUCUGUUGUUGGUGAAGAAGGAUAGAGGCAGUAACUGGUCUUUAUUUGACGGUAAUCAACCAGAAAGUCACGGCUAACUACGUGCCAGCAGCCGCGGUAAUACGUAGGUGGCAAGCGUUGUCCGGAUUUAUUGGGCGUAAAGCGAGCGCAGGCGGAAUGAUAAGUCUGAUGUGAAAGCCCACGGCUCAACCGUGGAACUGCAUCGGAAACUGUCAUUCUUGAGUGCAGAAGAGGAGAGUGGAACUCCAUGUGUAGCGGUGGAAUGCGUAGAUAUAUGGAAGAACACCAGUGGCGAAGGCGGCUCUCUGGUCUGCAACUGACGCUGAGGCUCGAAAGCAUGGGUAGCGAACAGGAUUAGAUACCCUGGUAGUCCAUGCCGUAAACGAUGAGCGCUAGGUGUUGGGGACUUUCCGGUCCUCAGUGCCGCAGCAAACGCAUUAAGCGCUCCGCCUGGGGAGUACGACCGCAAGGUUGAAAC